GACGAACGCUGGCGGCGCGCCUAACACAUGCAAGUCGAACGAGCGAGAGAGAGCUUGCCUUCUUGAGCGAGUGGCGAACGGGUGAGUAACGCGUGAGGAACCUGCCUCAAAGAGGGGGACAACAGUUGGAAACGACUGCUAAUACCGCAUAAGCCCACGGUGCCGCAUGGCACAGAGGGAAAAGGAGCAAUCCGCUUUGAGAUGGCCUCGCGUCCGAUUAGCUAGUUGGUGAGGUAACGGCCCACCAAGGCGACGAUCGGUAGCCGGACUGAGAGGUUGAACGGCCACAUUGGGACUGAGACACGGCCCAGACUCCUACGGGAGGCAGCAGUGGGGAAUAUUGCAAAAUGGGGGAAACCCUGAUGCAGCGACGCCGCGUGGAGGAAGAAGGUCUUCGGAUUGUAAACUCCUGUUGUUGGGGAAGAUAAUGACGGUACCCAACAAGGAAGUGACGGCUAACUACGUG
rnacentral:rRNA from 1 species